rnacentral:rRNA from 1 species
GACGAACGCUGGCGGCGUGCCUAAUACAUGCAAGUCGAGAGCAGGAAACUGACGGAACUCUUCGGAGGGAAGGCAGCGGAAUGAGCGGCGGACGGGUGAGUAACACGUAAGGAACCUGCCUCAAGGAUUGGGAUAACUCCGAGAAAUCGGAGCUAAUACCGGAUAGUUCAUCGGACCGCAUGGUCCGCUGAUGAAAGGCGCUCCGGCGUCACCUUGAGAUGGCCUUGCGGUGCAUUAGCUAGUUGGUGGGGUAACGGCCCACCAAGGCGACGAUGCAGAGCCGACCUGAGAGGGUGAUCGGCCACACUGAGACUGAGACACGGCCCAGACUCCUACGGGAGGCAGCAGUAGGGAAUCUUCCACAAUGGACGAAAGUCUGAUGGAGCAACGCCGCGUGAGUGAUGAAGGUUUUCGGAUCGUAAAACUCUGUUGUAAGGGAAGAACACGUACGAGAGGGAAUGCUCGUACCUUGACGGUACCUUACGAGAAAGCCACGGCUAACUACGUGCCAGCAGCCGCGGUAA